AUCUCUGUAGAGUCUGCAUAUCAAUAAGCGGAGGAAAAGAAACUAACAAGGAUUCCCCUAGUAACGGCGAGUGAAGCGGGAAGAGCUCAAAUUUGAAAUCUUCAAGGUUUGACCUUGACGAAUUGUAGUUUAAAGAAGUGUUUUCGGUUAGAGGAGUAGUAAAAGUUCUUUGGAAUAGGACAUCAUAGAGGGUGAGAAUCCCGUAUUUGACUAUUCUUUCUAGCUUUGUGAUACACUUUCAAAGAGUCGGAUUGUUUGGGAAUGCAGUCCAAAAUGGGUGGUAAAUUUCAUCUAAAGCUAAAUAUUGGCGAGAGACCGAUAGCGGACAAGUACCGUGAGGGAAAGAUGAAAAGAACUUUGAAAAGAGAGUUAAACAGUACGUGAAAUUGUCAAAAGGGAAGCGUUCGACACCAGUGUUGUUUUUCCGAAAAUCAAUUAAAAAUUGAUUCAUGCCAGGUUGUAUUGACCUUAUCAGCUUGCAAUUUGGUUUUGGGUCUCUUUUUGAUGCACUUUUCGGUUAACAAGUCAACAUCAAUUUCUUUUGUUGUAAAAGAGUAUUCGGAAGGUGGCUUUCUUUUCGGAGAAAGUGUUUAUAGCCCUAUACUUCUACAAUCGGAGAGAUUGAGGUCUGCAGCGUAGAUCCUUCGGGGUUAGAUACACUUGUGCUAAGUUAUAGCUUUUCAUAGACAACUUGUUGACUAUGUUUAGUCAUGCGGCUUACUCGCUUGUGCUAUUUUACCUACGCUUAGGAUGUUGACUGAUAUGUAGUCGUA
rnacentral:rRNA from 1 species